AUGCGCCUCUUCUCGGGGUGUUAUGUGUUUCUCUCCCUCCUUUUCCCUUUCAUAUAUGAAUAUAUGUAUACAUAUGUACUGUAUUUCACCCCUCCUUGUUAUAUUACGUCUCUAUUAUCUGGAUAAUGAUUAACACUGAAAUGGGUACCGGUGACACAAUAUGCGCAUGCGUUCUAUUACUUUCGAUCGUCUAGCAAAAUUUGAAUUGAAGAUUGUUGUCUUGGACUUUAUAACUGAGUUGAAUAAGCUAAGGUGAUAUUUUUAUCUAUGACUUUUUUCUGAAUACGAAUUAUUUAGCAAAUAUUAUUUUAUAUAAGUUAAAAUGUAAUUUCUAAGCGACGAAUUAAGCCUUUUUUUUUGCAUUAUUUAUAUGAAUUGUGACAAUUUGACAGACAUAAAUAUAAAUACAUAUAUUUAAGAUGUAUAAAAUUAGGUUAGGAUUAAACUGAAAGAUAGAAUAAUUGAGUCAUUUGAAUAUCGAUUAAAGUUUAUU